UACACAAGGGUUUUCAGUAUGAAGUGCCAGUGACAUUGGCUCACUUCAAACAACAUGAGGAUAGUUACUAAAGGACAUUCUUCAGAUAUAAAUAAUAAUAAAUUUCUCCUAUGUGGGAAAUACUUAAGAACCGAGGGCUCUUGAUUGAGGAUGUAUAUCAACAGAAUGGAAGAAAGUCUCUUGGGCGGAAGACUGGAGUACAUGUCCAUCAUUCUGUUGGCUCGACUGUGAGAAAGAAGGACUUUCAGAAGACGCGGCUGGUGCUGUUUGGACACUGUACUAUUUUAUUACUACCAUAUAAGAAGUUGACAAUGACCUUCCAGCUCUGUUUACAAGUUACUGCAGGCUCUGUUUUGAGUUUGUGGCUGACUUUGUGUAACUUUGUGUCUUAACAAACUCAAACAUUCUGUCAUCCAUUGUGUCAUUGAACAAAGCAACGCUUACAGUCUGCUGGCUGUAGCUGGUCUGUACCACACAGCAACCAGACUUCAUAGUGAACAAUUCAUUUUUGUUUAAUUAUAUAGUAUUUAUUUGUCAAACAUGGCUUGGAACUAAAAUGUUAUUUGUGUGUGUGCAUGUUACAUUCUAAUUAAGAAAUGUGGGAAAACAGUUUAACAUGAAGAGCACCUUCAAGGAGUUCAAGUUAAUUUACCGUGCAAACUCUCUUUUCUGAGAACACUUACAUAUGAUUUAGUUUUUUCCGUCCCUGGUCAGACCGACGGUGUGGAGUUGACAUACUCCACUUCUCCUUCCUGACACUGGGAGGUGCUCGUGUUCCGUCAGUGAAUGACCACUGAAAACAUAAGGAAUGUAUCUGAAACAUGCAGUUGGUUGCAUCACAAUGUAACACAUCCACUGUCCUCGUGCCAGAUGAAAUCUGCAUCCCAAAUGUCAGUUGACGGCUGAGGCUCCUCGCUCUGUGUCACCUGUCGCGAGAAUGCGGAGGAGAGGAGGGCUCGGAGAGGGGGGAGGGGGCAACACACUCACAAGUGCUGUUCGUCAUCACUUUUUAAAUGUAACUGUGGAGUCACUUCUGGUGCAGCCUGCAAUCCUCCGGGGGGGGGUUGGUCCUGCUAAUCCGCUCAAACAUGAAACAAACCGUUCUCAAGGCGGUUGACUCAUACACACACACACACACACAUACACAAACAAAACACACACACACACACACACAUGGCACACGGCUUCACACUGACCUCAUUAUGAAAAGGUUUUGCAGAGCCUUCGAAGCACAGAUUGACUCCUCUGCUUUUUUCUGCGAGCUGGGGCUCAGGAGGUCACGCUCAGCGAGUCUCCAGGAGAAGGUAGUUUCUGUUUGACGCUGCUGGUGGAAGAACGAGUCUUAAUAUACGGCAAUGUGUGAUUACCUCAUCCUCUGGUGCGUGCUCCUCCAGCCGGCUUCAUCAAGGCCAGUUUGAGCUACACUUAACUGCUACUUCUCUCUGACGGUGGUGACCUGCUUACUACCCGCAAUUAUUUGACUCAUCUCUGUUGUAGGAAUUGAAUGUAUUGUACAUAUUUUACAUUGUUCAUUUUUUACACAUGACAUCCAUUGUAGUCUGUCCAUCCCGGGGAGAGGGAUCCCUCCUCUGACGUUCUCCCUAAGAUUUCUUCCCUUUUUACCCCAUGGAAGGGUUUUCAUUUUUUGGGGAGUUUUUCCUGUGCCGAUGGUUUUGGGACAGAGGAUGUCGCAUGCGCGCAGACUCUAAAACCCUCUGAGGCAAAUUUGUAAUUUGCGAUUUUGAGCAAAAUAAAAUUAAUCGAAUUGAAUUGGAUUUUCAACAUUUUGAAUGACUGAGUUUUGCUUUCAAUGGGUUAUUUUAGUUCAACUUUAAAUUAAAGGUUGAACGAUUAGCAUUAGUGUUUAAUCACUUUCUUACUAGUGUUUAAUCACCUGCCUCACGCCUCUUCUGCACAAUUAUGAAAUCUUUUAAAUUGGUCCACAUGACAGGUCGGGGUAAUUGGUUGUUGAACUAGUUGUGUGCAACAGUCUGCAAGAUCAUUUCUGUGCUUUAGAAAAACAUGAAGAGGAAAAUUCUGCUGCCUGACAAAAAAAAAAAAUCAAUUUUGCACGUUUUGCAGGUCCAGGAAAUCCUUUGUUGAAGUGGAGAUCUGCGGCUACAAUGACUGCAUAAUUUAAGCGGCACCGGACAGUUUUUAUUAGCUGCAAAAGAGAAGUGUUAGAAGCAAAACAGCCUGACACACAUUCUACUCCACCUGUGGGGAGAAGAGGAGAAGCUGUUGGACAGUGCAGUAGUGGCCACUUGUUGGAGAAUAUCACAGUGCGAGGAGAAGGUCAAAAGCCUGCAGGCUUUGUCGUUACUGAACGAUCGCUGGCGUUAAUAAUGGAUGUAGAAAAACCUCUGCAUGUCAACAUCUGUGUGCAAUGGAGUCGGAGUUGAAGCCAGAAAAUGAAAUGACGGAAAGCAUGGACCCAUUUUCAUUCAGUGAGUAAACAGAGUGCUCAAACGCACAUUUAAUGAUCACAUGGUUCUUCACUCUGACCUGCUGCGGAUGCAACGAGUGAGACCGUUUCACCGCUCGGAGAGAAAAGGGGUCCAGCUGUUUAUUGACAACCAGCGCUGAGCUCACAGUCGAAACCACAAGUAUGUUUACAAGUCAGACUCCGCAACGGGAACAACGGGCGUGCUUGUCUCUCGCUCUGGUCCUCUGUUAUCUAAUUUGUCUCAGUUCUGUUCCAUCGUGUCCCUGAUCCAUCUCAGCUGAUGAAAAACAACCUUCAACAUUCAUUUUCCACCUCCACUAUUCCCUCCUCCUCUCCUCCGCCCUCCUGGGGGAGACGGGGCGGCUGGUAAGGGAUGUGAACACAUGAGAAUCAGCAACCGCACCAGAGAUAGUAAUUGUUAAAUUGCAACAAAUGGACCCCGUGUGACCCAGAGGAAUCAUUGCAGAAAUCAACAAAGACUACCCCGACCGAGUUUAUCUAAAUUCCAAUAGUAUGCUCAGUAAUGGAAAAACACUGUAGAAAUGCCAUUUCAAAUAGAGCCCGAUGUAAUCCCCGGCCCACCGGGGUCCAUUUAAUCAAUGCUACAGACCUGAGCGUAGAGGAGGAACAGUCUGCAAAUGGAAGUGGAGUUCUGAGUCAGCUCACAGGAGAUUAAAAAGUAGAGGUGGAUGAAUAAUGGAGGAGGAGAAUGGUGGGAAAAUUGCAGAAUGUGGCGAAUCAUCAAUAACGCCUCCUGUGAAUAAUUCUGAAAAGAAAAAGACUUCUUCUGAAACUGUCUGUGCCCGCUGAAAUGGAAUUGUUCUUAAUUAAUUUUCGCCUCCACGCUGCGGACGAGCGCUCAUUAUUUCACAAGCGAGCUUUCCACUCGUCUCACUUAAGAUCGCCCGAGACGAUGUCCUGCGUCACGCAGGCCCCUGGUAACGUAAGUGACGGCUUCCCACCGAUUAGCUGUGAAGUUUGGGAGUCGGACGAAGUGCAGCUUAUGUUGUUUUGUUCGGAGCUGCGGUUUACACUGACGGCUCCGCGAGGUGAGUCCACUCCCGGGGAGUUUUUUUCUCGCGAAUACGAACCCAACCAGCUCGCCCUCAAAAACCAACAACCAAUUCAAGCAUCCCAUCAAUCAGCGCUGCACAGAAGCACACUGGGGACGGCAGUCACUUUUGAAAGGCCCAGCGGUGCUCGGGCCUUUAAGCAGCGGGCUAAACAGCACCCGCCCCCCCGCCUGGGCAUAAUCACGUAUCAUUACGUCUCCAAUCAAUGGAGCAAAGCGUCACUCCCGCGCUGUUUUGUGUGGUGCUCCAGCGGCGCUCACAAGGACGCCGAGCUCUUCAUUUCGGCCUUGUUAGCAAACAAGCAGCUCACACAGGGCAGUGACAGAUGUUUAAAUCCAUGUAGAAUUAUUGGGGGGGGAGGGGGGGGGGGUUCUUUGGGCGAAGUCUUCUCCUGGUUGUUUUUUCCCUCAUUAUCGGACAGCGAUGUCCCCCGUUGUUUGACGGGUCAUUUGCCAGUUGUCUCACAUCAGCGGCCAUGAGGAAAAGACUACCUGUGUCUGUUGCUGUAAAUCGAGUUAAUAGUGUCCGAUUUUAAUGGCCAGAUUUUUGUAGCAGCUUUGUCACGUUUCGGCUAAAGUUGUGCGACAAACACAAGCUUUGUUUUACAUGGAAAAGGAUUGUUAGCAAACUUCCUCCAGCGUGACAGAAAGCUCCAUAACAGUGAGAUUGCUCAAGGUCAUUUUCAUUAUGUAGAUUCCAAUAAAAUAGAUGACCUUUUCCAAUUACCUAGAAACCCAUAAUGCAUAGAUAUUGUUUGAUUGAUGGAACUUAAACAUAUUGAAAAGGUUCCUGCACUUAUCUUACAAAAGCCAUUUCAUCUCUGCUCCUACUAAAUUAUUGUUAUUUGUGCAUCUAUAGGACCAACGCGAACUCCAUGAAUGAUGUCUUCUAAGUGUUUAUGUUUAGACCAUGAGCCAAAAACAUCUGUAAGAAACUGCAUUUGUACUUGUCGGCUCCACACUCGCUGUCCCACAGAGGUCGUUUUCCUUCCCUCCGCCUCACACUCGGCUCCUCGCGUCUCUCGCAUGCUCGUGGAACGGGGAAUUUUUUCCCCGGCAGCCGAGAAGAGAUUUCUCAUCAGCAGCAGGACGGAAAGAGCCUCCAGAGCAGCGAUCCUUUAUUCCACCUGUCGGGGCAACGAAUGAAGCACCACACCAUCCCGGUCCAGUCAGCAGCUUGGGGGGUGAGGGGGGGGGGGUUGGAUUUAACUGGCAGUCCAUCAUGUCUGAGGAGGGGGAAGGUUACGCUGGAACAACACCUGUACGGAGGAAACGGAAGGCAUCACAGCACGAGUCCCCCCCCCCCACCCCCCCUUUCAAAGCGAUACCAUCUGCAAAGCUUUUUUUUCUCCACACAAAGACAACAAGCAUAAGUGGCUCGGUGGAAAGAUAACAGGCACUUUUAUUGGAUGCUUUAAUUUUAAUCCAUUAGUAAUUAUUCAAUGAUUUUUUGUUUUCUGGUGUGUUCCAAGGGAAUUCAAGGACUGUUUCAGAGAUGAUUUGUAACACAAUUUGUCCAAAACACUGAGGGAUGUUUAACAAUUAAGAGGCGCAGCAGCAUGACCCGCUCGCGAUGACGGUUCCAUUGCUGCCAUUAAGGACGCAAUCUGUCUUUAUGGGGAGUCUUUAGUUUGAAUUUAGCUGGUUAAAGAGAGCCGUCCAUCACUGUGCAGGCUGACCCCAUCCUGCUGGGAAUUGAACUGUAGUUAAUUAGCGCACAAAGCCCGCGGGACAAAAGAAACUUUGGGGUGGAGGUGAUUGGGGAGCUGCUUGGAUGUGUGUGUGUGAGGGGGGUCUUGAGCCUGUAGCUCAGAGGGACUUUGGUGGAAACACUUUGUAUGUGUGUGUUCUGAGGGGAGGGGAUUGCAGCAGCGGGUGUGGGGGGGCCACAGAGGGAUGAAUUAGCGGUGUGAAGGGGAGCCUUGUCCCCGUGCAGCCAUUCUUCUACCAACCACCACACUCCCUCUCUCCCUCUCUGCUGGAACCUGCCAAGGGACAAAAGGGCCGGGUGGGCGUGGUGGAAAGGGACCUAAAAAAAGGUCAAAGCGUGACAUGAACUAAUGAGGAAGCCUUUCUACUGGAGAAAUCACUUGUAUCUUCUUACUGUAAAAUGGUGGAGCAGUAAACGUUUCUCUGUCCUGUUUUCUGUGUCAUCGGUCCACAUGCGGAUGUACGUUAUUGUGAUACAAGAGUAAAUAUAAAAACACACCCAUGGGUAUCUUUUGGAUGUGAUGUGCAUAACUCGGAUCACACAGUGUGUUAUGCGGGGGGGCAGUGGGGGGGCUCUCAGCCUAAAGAAAGACUGUCGGCAGCCCGCGGGAGGCGCUGUCUCCCCGCGGUCACCGGAGCUCACGUCCAACCGAAGACCGGAGUCCGCGCGAAGCCGGUAUCGGACGCUUUUACGCGGCGGCGUGCGCGCGCGUCGUGCACGCCGUCCAGGACGGACAAACACUUUAGUCAAGCGACCAGCCCGGUCCUCCUGCUUCUCCUCCCACCUCCUUGCCCCCCCACGCCGCCAGCCUGCACCGUCAAUCGCUGCAGACGGAUCCACGAGAAACCCGGAAGUGUAGCUCUUUUCACUUCAUAGUAAAAGCGUAAGAAAAAUCACGUGAAACAAUAAAAGAUCGACGGGGCUCGUCGCCUACAGGUGAUGUCAGAGCAGUGACAGGUGAUUUAAAGCUGCUAUGACAUCACUGGUUAGGAUGAUGUCAUCAUGUCCGGUGACGAAGCACGACGGCUGCGGUUACCCGCGUGACUCAGCUUGCCGGACACACUUAAUUUAUAUUUUUUUGAUGUACGAAACACUGUGACCACAGACUGCGGAUGUUAUUGUGAAGAGGUUCUCUGGUCUAGUGGGGUUUAUCCUUAAAAAAAAAAUCCUGUAAUGCAGGGAAAUGAUGAUGAAUGAUGAAUGACUGCAGCUGUACCAGAUGUGAUGGUGACUAUUUAGUUGUUUUAGAAAAACUGGAGGAUAGACGAUGGAAAGUGCAGAGAAUACUAAUGCAGACCUAUCGUGUAUAAAUAAAUAUAAAGUAGCCUUAACAUCAAACAUAGAAAUACAAAAUUAUAAGGAAAGGCGGAUUUCCCCAAAACGUACUGAAUUAAUAAUGAAAUAGAUGAAUAAACAAACAAAAAUAAAUAAAACGCUAACGAUAAGAAAAAGACGAAUAGCAUCAAAAACCAUCAGCAGAAGUGAACUAACAUGUCGGUAGUGAAACAUGUUACAUCACAUUGUGGCAAAGUGAAGCGUGUGGUCCGGAAUGAAUAAACUAAGCAGGCUAAUCCACAGCAUAUCGGCAGCUUUUAUUUUGAAAAACAAUGACCGGAAGCUUGCUAUUCCUCAUGUGUGCUUUGGUGCAUCCAGCACCCCCCCCCCCCCCCCCCCCCCCCCCUCUCACUGUGUCUCUGUCCCAGUAAUUGCCAUUCCGACGCACGUCCCUCACAGAGAAGCAACAGCUAGGCGGAGUGGGGCCAAAGUGGACUACACGGAUUUCCCC
ensembl:lncRNA